UACGGAGGAUGCGAGCGUUAUCCGGAUUUAUUGGGUUUAAAGGGUGCGUAGGCGGUUUAUUAAGUCAGCGGUGAAAGUUUGGGGCUCAACCUUAAAAUUGCCGUUGAAACUGGUAGACUUGAGUAUAAAUGAAGUGGGCGGAAUUUGUGGUGUAGCGGUGAAAUGCUUAGAUAUCACAAGGAACUCCAAUUGCGAAGGCAGCUCACUAAGCUAUAACUGACGCUGAGGCACGAAAGCGUGGGGAUCAAACAGG
rnacentral:rRNA from 1 species